UUGGAAGUAAAAAGUCGUAACAAGGUUUCCGUAGGUGAACCUGCGGAAGGAUCAUUACCGAGUGCGGGUCCUUUGGGCCCAACCUCAUCCGUGUCUAUUGUACCCUGUUGCUUCGGCGGGCCCGCCGCUUGUCGGCCGCCGGGGGGGCGCCUCUGCCCCCCGGGCCCGUGCCCGCCGGAGACCCCAACACGAACACUGUCUGAAAGCGUGCAGUCUGAGUUGAUUGAAUGCAAUCAGUUAAAACUUUCAACAAUGGAUCUCUUGGUUCCGGCAUCGAUGAAGAACGCAGCGAAAUGCGAUAACUAAUGUGAAUUGCAGAAUUCAGUGAAUCAUCGAGUCUUUGAACGCACAUUGCGCCCCCUGGUAUUCCGGGGGGCAUGCCUGUCCGAGCGUCAUUGCUGCCCUCAAGCCCGGCUUGUGUGUUGGGUCGCCGUCCCCCUCUCCGGGGGGACGGGCCCGAAAGGCACGGCGGCACCGCGUCCGAUCCUCGAGCGUAUGGGGCUUUGUCACAUGCUNUGUAGGAUUGGCCGGCGCCUGCCGACGUUUUCCAACCAUUCUUUUCCAGGUGACCUCGAUCNGGAGGAUCCAU
rnacentral:rRNA from 1 species